AUAGCUAUCAUCUAACGUUUUCCCUCUAACCCAAAAGUUACGUCGUUUGAAAUUUUACUCUUCACCCUGAGAGAGCAUAGAGGGUUAUAGUCACAUAUCUGAUUCCGUUGUUUUCAUUAUUCAUUCCUUCAUUUACUGCAUCCAUUGGUUAUUUUAAUUCUACUAUUUCAUGUUAAGCUUUGUGGUACUCUUUUUUAUAUAUCACUCAUUUUCCCUUUCAUCACAGCAUAUUGAUAAUGCAGAACUUUACUUUUUUUCUUUUCUGACUGACAUUCUUUUUCCUGCAUUAUGCACAAUUUUUCCACUCAGGAUCACUUUUUUCCUCUUC
rnacentral:lncRNA from 1 species